GUUUUAAUAGUUUAAGAUAAAACAUUGGUCUUGUAAACCAAUAAUGAGUUUAUUCUCUUAAAACU
rnacentral:tRNA from 1 species